UGAGGAAUAUUGGACAAUGGGCGCAAGCCUGAUCCAGCCAUGCCGCGUGCAGGAUGACGGUCCUAUGGAUUGUAAACUGCUUUUGUACAGGAAGAAACAGUUCUACGUGUAGAACCUUGACGGUACUGUAAGAAUAAGGAUCGGCUAACUCCGUGCCAGCAGCCGCGGUAAUACGGAGGAUCCAAGCGUUAUCCGGAAUCAUUGGGUUUAAAGGGUCCGUAGGCGGUUAGAUAAGUCAGUGGUGAAAGCCCAUCGCUCAACGGUGGAACGGCCAUUGAUACUGUCUGACUUGAAUUAUUAGGAAGUAACUAGAAUAUGUAGUGUAGCGGUGAAAUGCUUAGAGAUUACAUGGAAUACCAAUUGCGAAGGCAGGUUACUACUAAUGGAUUGACGCUGAUGGACGAAAGCGUGGGUAGCGAACAGGAUUAGAUACCCACGUAGUCCCUGAGCGGGCUGGCAAGGCG
rnacentral:rRNA from 1 species